rnacentral:rRNA from 1 species
GAUGAACGCUGGCGGCGUGCUUAACACAUGCAAGUCGAACGGAAAGGCCCAAGCUUGCUUGCGUACUCGAGUGGCGAACGGGGGAGUAACACGUGGGUGAUCUGCCCUGCACUUCGUGAUAAGCCUUGGAAAAUGGGUCGAUUACCGCAGAUGACCACUUCAUGGAUGUUGUUGUAGAAAGUUAUUUGGGUGUGGGAUGAGGUCUCGACCUAUCAGCUUGUUAGUGGGUUGAUGGCAUACCAACGCGUUGACGGGUCGCCGGCCUGAGAGAGUGUAGGGACACAUUGGAACUGAGAUACAGCCCAGACUCGUACGGGAGGCAGAAGUGGGGAAUAUUGCACAAUGGGAGCAAGCCUGAUGCAGCGACGCCGCGUGGGCGAUGAAGGCUUUCAGGUUGUAAACACAUUUAGCUAAGGAAGAAGGGUCUUUGUGACGGUACCUGGAGAAAAAGCCACGGCUAACUACGUG